AAAUGUUCAGUAUUCUUAGAGACUCAUGACUUAAUCUAGUGGGUAUUAUACAUUUUUCAUUCUCAUUUCGGUAUUUUGUGGAGAUUUAUGACUUAGCACUCAGUUUGAAUUUAGCUUUCAGUUAAUAAAUAUGUCAUAAUAUUGUUUUGGGAUUAAUUCAGUCAUCAUGAUUCUUAGUACAACUUAGUUAAAUGUUCCUUUAAUAGAAGGACCUCUGACCAAAGAAGAUAUGGCCAAAAUUGUAGCUUCUGCUUAUAAUCAUGGAACUUAGGACCUCUCUACCAUCUCUCUUACCAUCCCUCAAAAUAUCAUAAACUCCAUUCACAAUACCUUCAUCCCACUCAACCCAAUCAAGGAAGAUAGAAUGAUCUGGGAGUCACCUCAAAUGGAAUCUAUUCCACAAAAUCAGCUUACUCCCUCUUGGUCAACCUUCAACAUCAAAGAGAUGAAAUCAUAAGUAACAAUUACUUAUGGAUCUGGAAAUUAAAAGUCCCUAACAAGAUUCAAUCAUUCUUUUGGCUACUCUUCCAUGAUAGGCUCCCCAUUGGAGCUUUUCUCCAUCAUGUUGGGAUACAAGCAAAUUCCACAUGCAGCUUUUGCAAUCAAGCUACUGAAACAUCAGCACACAUCUUCUUUGAAUGCACAAACUCCAAGCUUUUCUGGCCAGCAAUCUUCUCACAAAGCACAAACAACACCACUAUUAUUUUACCAUCAUUCACAGCUAGGGAUUGGCCAAACACAUGGGCAUCACUCAAGAAAGAGCACUACAACAGCAUCAUCACCUGGAAAGAACUCCUACCUUUCUGCUUUUGGCAAAUCUGGAUCCCAAGGAACAACAAUCUAUUCAACAAUAUAAAGGAGGGGGUGGACACCAAAAGUGCUAUAGCUAAGGCAACUGAAUAUGUAACCAUUAUGAUUAAAUAAAGCACCCAAAAUUCAAAAAAGUAUCUGGGUCAAAUGGGAGCCCCCAAAAAUCAACACUUACAAGCUCAACACUGAUAGAGCUGCAACAGGGAAUUCUGGAAGGGGAGGGCUGGGAGGAGUCUUCAGAAAUGCAAAUGGGAAUUGGGUACUGGGCUACAUGGGAUCCAUCCAGCACACCACCAACACUCAAGCAGAAUUGCUAGCGAUUCUAAAAGGGCUGCAAAUUGCAGAAGAAAGACAGUUAACACCGUUGGAAAUAAACGCUAAUUCAACUGAGGUAAUUAGAAUGCUACUCAACGGGAAUCUUCUUUUUGACUCACUUAUUUCUGAAUGCAGGUCGAUCGUCCAAAGACUAGGCGACGUGGUGGUGAAACACAGCUACAGGGAGACCAACAGAGAUGCUGACCUACUGGCAAAAAGGGCACUAACAAGAACCUUUUUGAAAAUAUUUUAUAACAGCAGUUCCUCCGGUGUUUGUCACUCAUGUUUUUUAGGCAGACAUUGUAGGAAAUGCUUUCCAAAGAUAAAUUAUGGACUGUAAUAUUAUUAACGAUGGCCAGGCAAUAGGUGAUUUGAUAUAUCCACUCACAAACAAUCCGUUUGUAAGCCCUAACGAGUAGAUUUUUGUUAUAUAAUGCAUCCAGUUUAACCAAAAAGAAAAGUUAAAGGUCACUCGAUGUAUUGCUUAGGUCAGGUGCCAAUCACGUCCUACCCCAACUUUAG
rnacentral:lncRNA from 1 species